rnacentral:rRNA from 1 species
UACGUAGGGGGGCGAGCGUUGUCCGGAUUUAUUGGGCGUAAAGAGCGUGUAGGCGGCCAGGUAGGUCUGCUGUGAAAACUCGAGGCUCAACCUCGAGACGUCGGCGGAAACCAUCUGGCUAGAGUCCGGAAGAGGAGAGUGGAAUUCCUGGUGUAGCGGUGAAAUGCGCAGAUAUCAGGAAGAACACCCGUGGCGAAGGCGGCUCUCUGGGACGGUACUGACGCUGAGACGCGAAAGCGUGGGGAGCGAACAGG